ACACAGGCGGAGUGGCGAGCCAGUGAAUGGGAGGCUCUCCUGCAGCGGGGGCACCUUAGAGGCUGGUUGUGUGGGCCAAGAAUGCACUCGAAGAGCAGGAACAGAGUUUGCAAGGGGGGCUGCCGGUGUCCACGGGAACCGUGGCAGGCCAGACACACCCAUCCCUGGAGAAGCAGAAGGUCGGCUAGGAGCUAUGAACAUCCUUGCUGAGCCCCAGAAGUGAGGAGCAACAGGGGAGGAAGGAGGCUCCUAUCUUGAAGCUGUUGGGCACCUACGCAAGUGGCACAGGGAGGGGCAGGGUGUUGGCUCCGAGUGAGAGAUUUGCUUAAGCCAGAUGGUGGCCGAUGAAGGAGGCCCAGGCAACCCCUUCUGGUCUUCCAGACAGCACCACAGAUGGCUUCUCCAUCAAGACUUCAAUCUCAAAGGGCAAUACUGUGCGGCAAAAGAAGAGCUGGCUCCUGGAGGACUUCUGGGGCCCCAGGCAUGGAUCAAUGUUUGCAUCAGAAAAGAAAGCCUGUCAGCAAUGGAGGUGCUGGAGGAUUUCUGGAAGGGGGGGGCCUCAUUCAAGACCACCAAGGGACUGCUGACUGUUCUCGUUCAUGACGCCUCUCUUCAAGGAAAUUGACCCUCCCAGAGUGCAAGACGGAGAAAAAGGUUCUUAAGAACUUCCCCUGGAAAUCACCACUGAAUGGAUGCCAGGCAAUUCUAGAAUCUCCACUCUUUGGUUUUUUGGGCCCUUGGAUGGAUGAGAAGUGAUGUGCAGAUCUGAUGGGAAAAAUGGCAGAGACCACAGCUUCUCUCCUAAACCCUCAUUCAUUGCCCAUCGGACAAUUCUCCUGUUUCCGAUCCUGUAAGGUCACAAGGAUUUCUCAUUUCAGGUAGACCAGAAAAGAAGCCACUGAUGGAAUGCUGCAAGAAGGGGUUUACCAUGCGGUGUGAUUUCUGGGACCCCUUCUUCCCUGUUGAAAAUAUUUCACAGGCCCCCAGGACCUCCCCCAAAAGACAAGGGCAGAAACCAAAGAAAAUGCACUGUUCCAAUUUUGUCCAGGCUGCCUGUGGAAUGAGAAACCCAUGAGAAAGUUAUUGAGACUUCAGUUUUCUAUUCCUCUCCUUAUCCGGCCUCAUUACCUCCCCAACCCCUGAGAGAAAAAAUAAAUAAUUCACAAACAAAGGACGAGGGUGUGGUGGAUUGAGAGCAGGUUUGCUUGGUGACAGGAGGACUCUGUAGAGGGGGUCUGUUGGGAGGUGAGCAGGAGGGAGUGGCUGCUCCAGAGCCCACAGUUCUGUCCAGAAAGGUGGAAGUAACACAGGCAUCAUGAAGGCUUCUGGAGGCAGGGGCUGAGCCCUCUCACCGCAAGGACCACAGAAGCCAGGGCUGGACUCCUGGCCCGGGAAGCUCCAGUCCCAUGGACUCUAUCCCACUCCUUUGUCUCUUUCUCCCUCCUGUGCCUGCCCCGCCUGCCCCUUGCUCUGUCUUCAUCCUGGGAAGCCAGCUGCAGCAUGUAGGAGAGAAGGGCUCUGUCACGGCUGUCUCUAGUGUGUUAUUGUUAGUGUUACAUUACAAAUCCCGUUUCCAUGCCAGGGUCCCUCGGGGGUCAUAACCAGGAGAGGCCAUGACCCUGUCAAUAAACAGAACCCCAAUCCUUAAUGUAACCGUUUUGCAUUCACUGAGCCGGCUCCAUGGGUUUGUAUACCAGAUUCCGCUCCUAGGCAGGAUCACUUCAGAGAGGCUCCCGUGGAAGUCAAGGUAGAGGGCACGUGGAGGUAGACCAGAUGCUGCUCCUGCUGGCAAGAGGAAGUCAGGCAUAGGUUUGGCUUGUGCUCCUCCAGAGCCCCCAGCUUUUCAGACCAAGGUGCUUUAGGGGUUCAACCAUCACUCUGAAGUCUCUCUUGCUGCUCCCUUGCUGAAGUCUCUUUUCCCUUAGAAGACCCUCAGCAAUAGAGAGGCCUUUGCUGAUCUGUCAGAUGUUUAGCCCUGGGGAUUGUAAGUAAGACCAUUGAGCAAAGAGGAAGCAGGGCAGGGAAUGACCUGGCACACAUUACUCAGCCAGGAGACAUAGUUGACUUCAGCCCACUCUCAAUUUUUUUUGUUGUUGUUGCAGAUUAAUCUGCCCAAUAUAGUGUGCUUUCCUUCCCAGUGCAGAGCCAGCUGAUGAAUGAUGGGUAGAACCAAGUAAAAAGAAAAAAAAGAAGAAGAAGAACAGAAAUAGAGUCUGCUCACUCAUUCAACAAAUAUUUCUUGAGUACACAGUUCUGCACAUGGAUACCAGACAAGAAAAAGAAUUAUAGGGCAGUUUGAUUGGCGCUAUGGGUUGAGAAGCAAUUUCUUUUUUUCUGUCUUGCAUCUAACAGCCAUGUAUUUCAGAAGCUCUUGAUGCCAAUACUUGGCCUUCAUAGCUAUCACUCUCCAUAGAUCCCCUCUGCUUGGCCUAAAGAUAAAAUAUUCCUGGGUGUCUGUUGUAGGGACUAAAAUAUUCACAUUUGGAAAGAGAUAGUAGUGUUAGACUUUGCCCGUCAAACACAGCCUCAAAGUUAAUUACCAUUGCCUGGCUUGUUUCUAAAACCACCAAGUGUCUAUUUGAGUGUCUGGGGGAAGAAUAAGAGAGUUGGGCUAAAUGAGGUACUAUUAUUUCUGCUGAAUUAAUUAGACUCAAUUACAGAGUUAGAUGGGGUCUUGUAGCUCUAGGGAUCAGCCCUUGUUUCCUAAAUAUGGGAACCAAAGCCUGGAAGGAGAAAGAUGUUUGUCCCUAAUCACAAACACAGUUCCUGGUCCUGGAAAAAUGUGACCUAGGUGGAGAAAGAAACAAUAAAAAACAGAAAAGAAGGAGGCAAAAGAGGAGCCAGUGACCAAAGGCAAGCUUCACUUAUUUAUCCUGGGUCUGCCCAGGAAUCUAGCAUCAGACAGUAAGAGCCAACAUGGAGACAAGUCAGGCCAGUGACCUCAGAGGCACGCGGCCACUAGAAAGAAGCCCCCGAUGGCAUGAAGCUUUGUUCUCUGACAUAACCUAUGCAUCUAGCACUGUGCCUGCCUACAGGAGGUGCUCAGUUACUAGGAAAUUAACAAAACUGCCUUGCAGAUCUUUCCUGGCUGAAGAUGAGGAGUGAGGGAAGAGAAAGAAGACAACUAAAUUAGGCCCUCAGCUCCUAUUUCCAGAACAGUUCUGAGAGUGUCUGUUUCAGAGUUUGAGUUUCCACAACUGCCUUUGUUAACAGGAGGGAUCUAUAAAAAACCAAUGGUCUGGACCAGGGGCUCCCACUCUGAAAGUCUGUGACUACCAGGGGCAGUGGAGUUCUUUCACGAUUCGCCUAAUGUUGUUGUCUUAGAAAUAAUACCACUUAUACAAAAUACAAAACCAGCAGGACUAUUUCCCAAAUAAAUGUAAAUGAGACUGGAAUUAAUAAAGGUAAAUUCAUUUUUUAAAAUUACAAAA